UCAUUUUUGUCUGGGGAAUUCCUUUUAGGAGCAAAAAAUUCACAGUAGAUCCUGCGCUUGCCUAGGAGUGGGGAAUGACACUGAGGCUGUUCAGGAGGGGAUUUCAAAACUGCCAAGACUUCCAGAACCCAUGACCCAGGAGAGAGAUCAGGGAAGGACUUGAAAAGGGACAAGCAGUUCCUCCAGCAUGCAGCAGAGUGCUGGGAUCAGAAUCUGGAGCUGGAAGAGAACUCUGUGGUCAUCUUUUUAUAGACUGAGUCCCCGAAAAGUUGACUCGUCCAAGGUCACACAGGUAGUGGUGGAGACAAGUUUGGACCAAAGGCAUUCACGGGAAGCAGCAGAGUUUUGAGUACUAACAAAAAUCCAACAAGAGAUGAUAGAAAGAUAAAGUCCCUUCAUGACAGCCGCAAGAUACAUCCAAGAUCUGGGCGCUAACCCUUCAAGAUAAACUGGAAUUUCCAUAACUACAACCACAAAACAUUGUUUACACAAAGAAAAAGGAGAUAACAAGGGAGAGACGUUCAGUGGUCAAGAGGGAAACAUGGCCAAUAGAAUAAAAACAGUAACAUGGCUGAAACGAUCGUUGUCUGAGGUUCUGCUGUAGAAAGGAUGUGGGGAUUUUCUUAAGUAUAAUUUUUUUAUAUAAAAAGAAAGGAUGCUGGGAUUUUUAAUUAUAAGAAGUUUUAGAAAGAGAAAUUAUACUCAAAUUUUUUAAGUAUAAAAAUUUUACAAAGGGGAAGGAUGCUGUAUUUGGAGCCAGAGAUCUAGGGUUUAAAUCAAAGCUUUGUCAUGUACUACCAGUGUGACCUUGGGUAAGUCAUUUCCCAUGUUGGGGCUUCAGUUUCAUCUUCAAUAAAAUAAAGAGGUUAGGUCAGAUGGCUUCUAAGGUCCCUUCCAUUUAUCUACAGCCAUAAGCCCAGGGGUUAGUGCAGGAGAGAAACCACCAGUUCUUUUCUAAUGGGCCUUGAAUGCCCUUUCUCUGCCAGUGCAAAGAUCUAAGUUAGCUCUCUAUCCUUUUUUGGGGGGACAGGCAAUGAGGGUUAAGUGACUUGCUCAAGGUCACACAGCUAGUAAAUGUCAAGUGUCUGAGACUAGAUUUGAACUCAGGUCAUCCUGAAUCCAGGACCGGUGCUUUAUCCACUGUGCCACCUAGCUGCCCCUAGCUCUCUAUCCUUUAAAGCUGAGCUCAGAUCCUACCUUCUCCGUGAACCCACCCCCCUGACUAUUCCAACUCUUUGUUGUCCCCCAAAUCCCCACAGAGAUCAGGACUACUCUAUGGCACAUCAACAGACUAUGGACAAGAUGUGUAGGAAACCUGUGCUCUGCUCCUGGGCCACAGCUCUUCCCCCUUUUGUGUACCUGAGGUCAAAGGAUGCAACUUAGGUCCACAGGAUCCCGACUAAUUUGCAUCAUCCCCAAGGCUGAGACUUGAUCACUCCCUGAGGAUGCUCGCCCUCAGCACAUAACCCAAGUCCCAAACACUGGCCUCACCUUUUCUGCCUCCCCAGGCUCUUCCCACCUGACUGAAGCCUUGCCCAUCCUUCAGGGCCUGAAGUCUGUGAACUUGUGGCUUUAAAAUAUUUUUGUAACUGUAUUUGAACAGAAUUGGUUUCCUUCAUAAUUCUAUGUUUUAUUUUAUGCAUUUAAAAAUGUGACUCUGAGAAGGGCUUCACCAUUCUGCCAGAGGGGUCCAGGACACAAAAGGUUAAAAACUUAGACUUUAGAGUCGAUCUCAAAUGCUGCCUCCUCCAGGAAGCCUUCCUUGAUUACUGCCAACUCAGUAAAGAGUCUUUCCCCUCAGACUCCAUGUGAUGUUUUGUUGGCACCUCUCUGAUGUACUUUUCAUGUAAUACUGUACUUUAU